rnacentral:rRNA from 1 species
UACGUAGGUGGCAAGCGUUGUCCGGAUUUACUGGGCGUAAAGAGCGUGUAGGCGGCCCGAUAAGUCCGCUGUGAAAGUCCAGGGCUCAACCCUGGAAUGCCGGUGGAUACUGUCGGGCUCGAAUCCGGAAGAGGUGAGUGGAAUUCCUGGUGUAGCGGUGAAAUGCGCAGAUAUCAGGAGGAACACCGGUGGUGUAGACGGCUUUCUGGACCGUAACUGACGCUGAGACACGAAAGCGUGGGUAGCAAACAGG